AUGGAUGUCUAUCCUAGACGGUGGAUCACUCGGCUCGUGGAUCGAUGAAGGACGCAGCAAACUGCGCGUCAAAGUGUGAACUGCAGGACACAUGAACAUUGAUGUUUCGAACGCACAUUGCGGCCCACGGAUCCUGUUCCCGGGCCACGCCUGGCUGAGGGCCGGC
rnacentral:rRNA from 1 species